GUGGCGCUAUAAAACACGCCCAAAGUCUACGUGAUUUCCCCAGCGCCCCAUUAGUCCAAAAUGCCUGUAAAUUGGUAGACAUGCCUUAUUUCUCAUGGGGAACAAAAAAGCCUCAAGGACCCAUAUUGUCAGACUUAUGAAUUUUCUUGUACUGUCCAAAUUUGGUACAACCUUCAAAACCCUUCUCCUCAUGAACAAUAGAUCCAAUCGACUUGAAAUUUGUUACAGAUUUGUAGAAUACAUGUCUUUCUAUAGGGUCAAAUUGAAUAAGGAAUGCAAUACAAAAUGGCUGAAAGAAGUGUAUUUAUGUAAAUGUCCACAUUGCCACAAUAUCUUAUUGUUAAUAAAUCAAAUAUAAUUUUGACUGAUGGUUUUUCAAACGUUAGUGCCUUCAAGUUGACAUCAUUCUGAAGUACCAUACGCAAUUUCACCUUGAUAUGUCAAUAUAUGUUUGAAAUCAAUUGAAUGGCUCCACAGCGCACGCGCACACUCAUCCUGCCCCUUGACACACGAGCGAGCUUGGCGAGACACACACACAUGCUUUCUGGAAAUUGUGUGCUGACUAAGCCCCCACCCUCGGUUUUUAGCUCCUGUUUCAUUUUGCUUCCAAUCGCAGCUCGCCAUUACGAAUAUAAAUUCUUUUUCGGCGGCCAUUGUUGUUUUCAACUGGAGUUGCCUGAUAGCCGUGUUGGAGGCAGCCACGUUCGGUCUUGAGGGUCAUGCAGAGGCCUGCUCAACAGAGUUCAACAGAGGACGCUGAGCGUAACAGAGGAUGCAACAGAGGAUGCUGAGAUCAACACAGGCCCCUUGCUGGACUACCCCUCUCUAGCUGGACAGCUUCUCUUCAGCCCUGACCCCAGGACAGCUUCAUCCUGCAGGCCCUGCUUGCCCCUGCCUGACAGCCCUCCAGAGACAGUCACCCCACAGACACAGUAGCUCUGCAGACUGCUUUUUUGAGGACAUUGAUGAAAAAGGACAAACCAGCAUUUUUUACUUUGAUGAAAGUCUAAAUGUUUAAUCCUUUCCAUGUCCCAGUAUGCCAAUCUGCUGACUUUGAGUGUCUUAAGUGAUGAAACCAGUUCAAGUGAUAGACUUUUGACCUGAAUCCAAUUAUUAUUCAUCUGAAUAAAAACCACUCAAGAGAA